CGGCGAGUGAAGCGGUAACAGCUCAAAUUUGAAAUCUGGCUCUUUCAGGGUCCGAGUUGUAAUUUGUAGAAGAUGCUUGGGGUGUGGCUCCAGUCUAAGUUCCUUGGAACAGGACGUCAUAGAGGGUGAGAAUCCCGUAUGUGAUUGGUGGCCUUCGCCCGUGUCAGGCUCUUUCGACGAGUCGAGUUGUUUGGGAAUGCAGCUCAAAAUGGGUGGUAAAUUUCAUCUAAAGCUAAAUAUGGGCCAGAGACCGAUAGCGCACAAGUAGAGUGAUCGAAAGAUGAAAAGCACUUUGGAAAGAGAGUUAAACAGUACGUGAAAUUGUUGAAAGGGAAGCGUUGGCAACCAGACUCGCAGACCGCUAAUCAUCCGGGGUUCUCCCCGGUGCACUUGGUGGCUUUCGGGCCAGCAUCGGUUUCGAGAGUGGGAUAAAGGCCGUGGGAAUGUAGCUUCUUUCGGGGAGUGUUAUAGCCCUCGGUGUCAUGCCAUUCCUCGGGACCGAGGACCGCGCUUCGGCUAGGAUGCUGGCGUAAUGGUUGUCAACGGCCCGUCUUGAAACACGGACCAAGGAGUCUAACAUCUAUGCGAGUAUUUGGGUGCUAAACCCAUAUGCGUAAUGAAAGUGAACGGAGGUAAGAGCCCUUAAGGGUGCAUUAUCGACCGAUCCUAAUGUCUUCGGAUGGAUUUGAGUAAGAGCAUAGCUGUUGGGACCCGAAAGAUGGUGAACUAUGCCUAAAUAGGGUGAAGCCAGAGGAAACUCUGGUGGAGGCUCGCAGCGGUUCUGACGUGCAAAUCGAUCGUCAAAUUUGGGUAUAGGGGCGAAGACUAUC
rnacentral:rRNA from 1 species